AGUCUCUGAUUGGCGAUUAGUAGCAAAGAAGAACCAAUCCAUUUGCUCAGAGUAUUUGAUUGGUUCUUCUUUGCUACUAGUAGCCAAUCAGAGACUUUG